rnacentral:rRNA from 1 species
UGCCAGCCGCCGCGGUAAUACGUAGGGGGCCAGCGUUGUCCGGAUUCAUUGGGCGUAAAGAGCGUGUAGGCGGUUCAAUAGGUCCGAUGUGAAAACUCGAGGCUCAACCUCGAGAGGUCGUCGGAAACCAUUGAACUAGAGUCCGGAAGAGGAGAGUGGAAUUCCUGGUGUAGCGGUGAAAUGCGCAGAUAUCAGGAAGAACACCGAUGGCGAAGGCAGCUCUCUGAGACGGUACUGACGCUGAGAUGCGAAAGCGUGGGGAGCAAACAGGAUUAGAUA